UACGAAGGGGGCUAGCGUUGUUCGGAAUUACUGGGCGUAAAGCGCACGUAGGCGGACAUUUAAGUCAGGGGUGAAAUCCCGGGGCUCAACCCCGGAACUGCCUUUGAUACUGGGUGUCUAGAGUCCGGAAGAGGUGAGUGGAAUUCCGAGUGUAGAGGUGAAAUUCGUAGAUAUUAGGAAGAACACCAGUGGCGAAGGCGGCUUACUGGUCCGGUACUGACGCUGAGGUGCGAAAGCGUGGGGAGCAAACAGG
rnacentral:rRNA from 1 species